rnacentral:rRNA from 1 species
CCCUUAGAUGUUCUGGGCGGCCCGCACACUACAAUGGCGCUUUCAGCGAGUUCCUAUGUUGAAUUUUCCUGGGUAUUCUUGGAAGCGGCGUCUUGACUUGGGAUAGAUCCUUGUAAUUGUUGGUUUUGAACGAGGAAUUCCUUGUAAUCGCGGUUGAUCAGCUCGCGUUGAAUACGUCCCUGCCCUUUGUACACACCGCCCGUCGCUCCUACCGAUGAAUCGUCCGGUGAAGUUCACAGAGUGGCGGUUCGUGGAGUUGCUCGCGAAGUGAAAUGGACCUCACGAUUUAGAGGAAGGAGAAGUCGUAACA